CCUACGGGUGGCAGCAGUGAGGAAUAUUGGUCAAUGGCCGAGAGGCUGAACCAGCCAAGUCGCGUGAGGGAAGACGGCCCUACGGGUUGUAAACCUCUUUUGUCGGGGAGCAAAGCGAACCACGUGUGGCUCAUUGAGAGUACCCGAAGAAAAAGCAUCGGCUAACUCCGUGCCAGCAGCCGCGGUAAUACGGAGGAUGCGAGCGUUAUCCGGAUUUAUUGGGUUAAAGGGGUGCGCAGGCGGAGGUGCAAGUCAGCGGUAAAAUUGCGGGGCUCAACCCCGUACUGCCGUUGAAACUGCAUCCCUUGAGUGCGCGAGAAGUAUGCGGAAUGCGUGGUGUAGCGGUGAAAUGCAUAGAUAUCACGCAGAACUCCGAUUGCGAAGGCAGCAUACCGGCGCGCAACUGACGCUCAUGCACGAAAGCGUGGGUAUCGAACAGGAUUAGAUACCCCGGUAGUC
rnacentral:rRNA from 1 species